AGUGAACGCUGGCGGUAGGCCUAACACAUGCAAGUCGAACGGCAGCACAGUAAGAGCUUGCUCUUACGGGUGGCGAGUGGCGGACGGGUGAGGAAUACAUCGGAAUCUACUUUUUCGUGGGGGAUAACGUAGGGAAACUUACGCUAAUACCUCAUACGACCUACGGGUGAAAGCAGGGGAUCUUCGGACCUUGCGCGAUUGAAUGAGCCGAUGUCGGAUUAGCUAGUUGGCGGGGUAAAGGCCCACCAAGGCGACGAUCCGUAGCUGGUCUGAGAGGAUGAUCAGCCACACUGGAACUGAGACACGGUCCAGACUACUACGGGAGGCAGCAGUGGGGAAUAUUGGACAAUGGGCGCAAGCCUGAUCCAGCCAUACCGCGUGGGUGAAGAAGGCCUUCGGGUUGUAAAGCCCUUUUGUUGGGAAAGAAAAGCAGCAGGUUAAUACCCCGCUGUUCUGACGGUACCCAAAGAAUAAGCACCGGCUAACUUCGUG
rnacentral:rRNA from 1 species